GAUGAAAACGCGUAGUGCGCACGCACUCCCACACGUCCCUGUUUCAUCAUCAGCUGAGCUCUUUCUCCUCCACUCACAGCUCUUCUCCCCUUCCUCUCUUACCCCCUCCCCUCUCUCUCUCUCUCUUUGCUCUUGCUUCUUUUUCUAUCCAUCGCUCUCCUCCUCCUCCUCUCUCCCUGGGUCCCGGCCACAUGCGAAAGGGUAGACUAGGACGCUGCAGCUCUGAAAAAAAAGAGGGGAAAAACGCUCUGCUGCUAUUUCUACAGGCAGGCCCUCCCCUUUAGCUAGUCUGUGCCAAAAGAGGGAGGGAUUUUUUACUACUCCCAGUCCCAGGAUUUUAACCCUCUGCCUGCUCUCACUUCUCCCUGCAAGAUCUGUUCCUCAAUAUCAUGCAACAAGUGGCUUUGCUUUACUCCUACUUCGACAUUGCUGCGCCAUUUGCAAGGGCAUUUUUCAGAUCCUUGUUUUCACGCGCUUUUAGUUUUAUCACGUUUUUGCCUCGCCUGGGUUGUUGCUAGUAGAGAUAAACUGGACCUGGGAGUUUUGCGCCGUGCCAUAGCGUUGGUGCAAAGGUUUUUUUUUUUUUUUUCCUUCAGCACGUUUCUUGAUUGCUCAACAUGUCAGAUUUUUUUUUCCUGGAUGAAUCUGAGUAUGAAGGCUGCAGUUUGUUUUGUGUGCUGUUCGAUUUCAUGUGUCUCGCGCAUGGAUCUUAAAUUGAAUUCCUUAUUGUUUUCCUGUGCUCUUAUCUGCUUUGCCCUCUACCUUCCUAACCCUUUCCAUCUCUAAACCUGUCCCUCUUUUUUGGUUUUUUUCUGCCCCACCCUCUCUUCCUCACGUUCUCUCUCUCUCGCUCUCUCUCGAUCUCGUGGGCAGUCUCCAGUGAAAGGAGAGCAGGAGGGCGGAGCAGCAGCGGGGCUUUUUCUGGGACAGGUGCCAAUUCCAAACAAAAGGCACAAAAAACAAAAAAAAAAGAAAAAAGAGUGUGAUAGAUCCCAACGACAGAGGGAAAAGUGGUGUAUUUAAAGAACUGAUUUGUAGUAAUUAGAUGUGUGUGCAUGUGUAACUAUUCUUCUCUUGCAGGUUUUUUUUUAUUGCAUGAGUGAAUAGCAGCAGAGAUCUUGAAUUCUCUCUUUCCCCCCUCUCUCGGCUCUCUUGCUCCCGUGAAGGCAUUUGAGUUUCGAGCGGGGAAAAGAAGGAGGGGUGGGUGGAGUUGGGAAGGGGCACAGGGAGGUGGAGCCUUGUCUCCUCUCCUCCCUGCCGAGUUUUCUGCAUUAUUCAUAUGCCCGGGCCAGCGCUGCGAUCUGACUGGCUGCCUGGCUUAGCAUUCAUCCGACAUUCAGCAGCUCUGUUUGCUAACAUUCCUCAUUCAAAGCCUUGUUAACUGCCAGACGGGAGGAACACGCGACUCCAUGGGAAACCCACAUGGCCUCUCCAUUGUGGCGGCCCUGACAGUCUCAGACAAGGAGCUGGCAGACAGGGGAGAGCGAGAGGAGCUGAGAGGAUAUGUGGACAUACUGUGUGCAGCCGCGGAUGGGUCCAGCACAGCCGCUUCAUCCAGGAUAGCUCAUUGCUGUGGUGUGGGACAGUUACUUCAAAGUCUCAGUGGAGUCAUUACUUGGGAGUGACUUUAUUUUUCCGUGCCAGACAUUGAUAUCAAGCAUCGAGACGAGGAAACCUGAGAGGAGGCGAGUUGACAGACCGCACAGACCUGCUCAGGGAAGAUGACCUGCCAAGCUCAAGUGACAUGCAGAGGAAGUGUUUUGAGUGUAUUUUGUUUUGUUUUUUAAUUACCACACAUUUCGCAUAUUAAGCCUCUCCUUUAAAUGUAUAAAAAAAAAAAUAAGGAACCUCAUGAUCAGCUGGGGCCUUUCUGCAUGGAUGUCCUCCAUGUGCCUGUGUGGGUUUUUCUGGGUACUUUCCUCCCACAGUGCAUCUUAAGUUGGGUAAAUAGUGAUUAUAAAUGUGUCUGUGGAUGUGAUUGUGAGAUGUUGUUGUGUGUCUGCGUGUGUUAAACCUCUGAUAGAUUGGCAGCUGGGUCAGGAUUUAACAAGUUUAGAAAAAAAACAAACGGAUUGAACAAAACAGAAAUAAAUAUAUGUUUCAUUUCUUAAAAUGUAAAACAAGCACUUUUUUGGACAUGCAGUGUUUUAUCUGUGAAUUAAGUAAGUUUAAGUGCUGCUUCAUGAUGAUGUUUUGCUAAGACUACAGAACUGGCUUUAUUUAAAAUUUUAAACAUUUAAUUACGUUACCGUUUUCACAUGACAUUGAAUAUAGCUGCCUACAUUACACACAGUACAAUACACUAACAGUACAAGCACACAGAAGUUCAGCUUUGACCUUUGGAACGAUGACAAAAUCAACUUUAUGAAGAUCCACCUGUUUUUUCUGCCUUUAAUUGGAUGCUAUGGUUUUUAUCGGCACAUUUGUGAUGCUGUUGUUUUAUUACAUUGAAUUGUGGUUGAAUUUUACACACUUAACUCCACCCAUUACAGCUUAUCUGUAGUUAGUUUUUUUUUUUUUUAAAGUAUUGUCCUAAUUUCACAAAGGUCAGUUGUCGUUGAGUUUCUGUUCCCACAGGUCGACUGGGUGCGACUGGAGAGCCGUGCGAGAGUUAAACUGUCCUUUGGGGUGAGGUAGUAGGUUGUAUAGUUUUAGGGUCAUUCCCAAGCUGUCAGAUGACUAUACAACUUACUGUCUUUCCUGAAGCGGCUGUAAUAACAUCAUCUUCAUCAUCGUACCCACAAGAGGAUAAGAAGCAUGACUUUUGAAUUUGGACUCGUUUGUUUGUUUAACCUAAAAUAAUAUGCAGAUUUUUGUGGGAAAUUGUUCUCUUUUUAUUGAUGCCUGUUGUUGUUGUUGUUUUUUAUUAUUUUUUAAAAAAAGGUAAGUUCUGCUAGUCUGAAGUUGUAACCAGUGAAGCUUGUUCUCACAGCGUGUAGUAAAUUUAGCGAAGUAAUGUGAAAUCUAGCCACUUUUACUUUUGCAGCUUUUUCAUGUAACUUUUCCUGCAAGUGCAUCCUUUUAUGUGCAGCAUGUAACAUUUCAACUGACAUUAUCAUGGCAAUCCUCAUUGCAAUAAUAAAUAACAAAGUUGCUUUCAGUUUCAUUUAUGCAGCGAUGCGGCUCGCGCACAAAUCCUCUCCGUACCCGCCUGGGUGCUUUAUGAUGUUCGUACAGGGUGAGGUAGUAGGUUGUGUGGUUUCAGGGUUGUGAUUUUACCCCAUCAGGAGCUAACUAUACAACCUACUGCCUUCCCUGGAGGGCAGCAAUACAUCACAGGAGCGCGCGCAUCUUUGUCAUUUUCCCUGCCUCUGAAAAAUGGGACAGUCUCUUUUACAAAGGCCCACAAAAGACUGCCAUUCGAUCUCAAGGGUUCACGUGUAUGGGUGAGUGGCGCUCACUCACACGACGCAUUUCAGAGAGACAAUCACUUUACACAUUUGUAACUCACACUGGGAAGAUGGCAUAAAAAAGGCAUUUAUUUAAUUUUAUUAGCAUUCAUGUUUUAAUACUGCUUGUACUUUUCCCCCAGUAAUUAAAUAAAGACUGGACAAGAAAUAAUUGCUGAGCAAAUAAUGGCUGAAGUCUGAUCUUUGUGCUGAUAACAACUGUGCAACAGUAGAGUCUCCCUAGAUGGGAUAUUUUCUUCGAAAUGCUGCUUUAGUCUCUAAUCCCUUUAAGGAGCUCAUAAUGCCCUGAAAUUCUAAUCCCCAAAGCCUCUGUGUCUGAGGAACAUGUAUCUUUUUAUCUGUCUAGAAAAGUCUCCUAAAAAGCAUGCAUCAUUUCUCUUUUGUUCUUUAAAACAAAAAUCAAUUGCAUGGGAUUUCUUCC
ensembl:lncRNA